rnacentral:rRNA from 1 species
AUGAGUAACAUGCUUAGCCCGAUCAUGUGCUGGAACGUCCGCGGCCUAAACAACCCGGCGAAGCGAGCAUCGGUUUCUGAGAUGGCCACCACACACAAAGAGGCAAUCCUCUGCCUACAAGAAACUAAAAUUGAGGUCUGGACACCCAACCUAGUGCGUGAGAUAGGAGGUGCCCUGCUGCAAGACUGCAUAGCUCUGCCGGCGAUCGGCACCUGCGGCGGAGCGGCAAUUCUCUGGAACAGAGAU